GGUAAUAGCAAAUGUUUGACUUCGACCCUUGAAGACUGAGAUGAAGAAAAGUUCCACGUGAACAGUAAUUGAAUGUGGGUCAAUCGAUCCUAGGAUGAUGGCUUGUACUAUGUAUCAUUGAGAGGGAAAGUUCACUUUUCUCUCGGAUAUCAAAAGGGAACAUUAAUAUUCCCUAAUGUAGAUACAGGGAUUGUGAUUCGUAUGAGUUUGCCUGCGCGGUUGCCCAUUCGAACUUUAUUACGUCGCUUAGAGAUCGAGAUAAAGUUCUAUUCUCUAGUUAAGGAACGGACUCCCUGGAAUCGGCUCAACCGUAGAUAGGGGCGUUGUUUCCGUAAAGCAUCGCACUUUCUGUGAUGUCUCGUGUUCUCUGGGCGAUCUUUGGAAAAUCAAGGAAGGCUAUUAAUCUGUGGUACAUUGUACCGACAUCCACAUCAGGUCUCCAAGAUGAAGAUAGUC
rnacentral:ncRNA from 1 species